CUUGGACCUGGCCGUCACUGACGCCGGGUGGCUAUCCCCGCCGCCGAUCCGCAGGGAAAC
rnacentral:ncRNA from 1 species